UACGGAGGGCGCAAGCGUUGUUCGGAAUCACUGGGCGUAAAGCGCGUGUAGGCGGCUUGGCAAGUCGGGUGUGAAAUCCCGGGGCUCAACCCCGGAACUGCAUUCGAUACUGCCUGGCUCGAGUCUCGGAGAGGGUGGCGGAAUUCCCGGUGUAGAGGUGAAAUUCGUAGAUAUCGGGAGGAACACCAGCGGCGAAGGCGGCCACCUGGACGGUGACUGACGAUGAGACGCGAAAGCGUGGGGAGCAAACAGG
rnacentral:rRNA from 1 species